rnacentral:lncRNA from 1 species
AUGCGCCUCCUAAAUGUAGAAAUUCCAAAAUAUAGUCGUCAUCGAGAUCCAAUUUACAAUCAUGCAACUCUUAUUCAUCCUGUGGAGUCACAUAUUACCUCUAAGCCAGCCCUCAAAACGCCACAAAAUUCUACAAACCUAUUACCCGAUGAUGGUAAGUUUCUCGAUCAGAGUAGAAUCUCAUCUUCUCCAUUAAUGGAUGUAAAAAAAGAGGAAUGCGUAACGGAAGAGCAACCACCAGAAAAUGGAGACUCAAAGCCUCUCCUGUGCAAUGAAAAAGACUCAGUAGAAAACUGUUCGUUCAUGAGGAGUAUCGUGUUGGAUGAUAAUAAGUUCGACGUGAAGGAAGAAUUCCAGGAGGAAAUUGCUGAACAAGAUCCUUUGCAAAAUUUAGAUGGGAAAGAAAGUAGGUCAAACGGUCCAAUGCAUUGUGGAUUUGUGAAAGAAAUGGUCAAGGAGGAACAUGUUAAAAAUGAACCAUUACUAAAUGAAGAGGAGGAAGUUAUCAAUAUCCUUAAAAGUAAGAUAAAUUGUUCAAUCUUGAAUGGAAAUGAGUCUUCUGGAAACCACUCAACAAAGAAUUUGGAUCAUAAGGGAAACCGUGUUUUCAACUGCCAGAUGAAAUUUUUCAAAACCGUGAAAGAGGUAGCUGAAGAAAACUUGGUAGAAAAGGACUGUUUGCACAGUAAAGAAUGUAAAAAAAAUAGUAUCAUUAAUGAAGAUGUGAAAUUUUGUGAAGUGAUUCAAGAUGAAUCGGAGGAAAAUCACUCACAAAGCAGGAAAUCGGACCUGAGAGAUCAGCGAAUCAACAGUAUCAUUUUCACAGAAAGCUCCAAUUUUAGAAUUAUACCCAGUAAUGAAGCAGUUGAAUCAAAUUUCGCAGAAAUCACUGUAUCUCACAAUGGAGAGCAAAAGGUGAUAAAUAGUGUUAUUUUAAAUGAAACCAGUUUCCGGAAAACUGACUUCGGGCAAGAAGACUCAUUUCGGAAGGAAGGUGGGCAAAUUCUAAAUGGUAUUAUUAUAGAUAAUGGAGUGAACUUUUGUGAAAUCAUGGAACAGGCUGAGUCUGCGGAAGAAGAUUUUGAAGAAACAGACCCUCUCCAUAUCGGAGAAGAAUCUGAUCAGGUUAUAUUCGAUUGUCAGGUUAUGAAUUUUUCCUCCGUGGACCUAGCACUGGGGGCUGGCGAAACUGUUGGGAUAUCUAUUCCUGCUGACUUUGAUGAAGUCUACCGACGGAUUCGUGAUAACAUCGUAGAAACCUCCAAUAUUAUCAACAAUGAUUGGCUUGAGGAUAGUUGUAAGACGAAAUCUGUGAUACCUAGCACUUAUGAUACUCAAACUCAAGAUACUCAAUCGAUAAUGAAGACUGAUAGCUUUAAUGACAGUGUGAGUGCUACUGCUGAAACUGACAAAGCAAUAUCAUCCCAACGUUGUGAAUUCUGUCGUAUCUACUAUGAUUCGAAUAAUUGCCUCUUUUACAUGAAGUUCACAAACGCAAACCUCAAUUUCAAAGAUCGUUGUUGUUUAUGCUGUGAGAAUCCUGAUUCGAGCAUCGCAAAAAAACCCUCCAAUAGUCAUCAAAACAGCAUCAAUCCAGGGUGGUUUGGCAAAGGAUAUCGAAAGAAAAUCAAGAGAAAGAAAUGA